rnacentral:rRNA from 1 species
CAGCCGCCGCGGGAAAACGGAGGGUGCAAGCGUUAAUCGGAAUUACUGGGCGUAAAGCGCACGCAGGCGGUCUGUCAAGUCGGAUGUGAAAUCCCCGGGCUCAACCUGGGAACUGCAUUCGAAACUGGCAGGCUAGAGUCUUGUAGAGGGGGGUAGAAUUCCAGGUGUAGCGGUGAAAUGCGUAGAGAUCUGGAGGAAUACCGGUGGCGAAGGCGGCCCCCUGGACAAAGACUGACGCUCAGGUGCGAAAGCGUGGGGAGCAAACAGGAUUAGAUACCCCUGUAGUCCCUGUCUCUUAUAC